UACGGGGGGAGCAAGCGUUGUUCGGAUUUACUGGGCGUAAAGGGCGCGUAGGCGGUCAGCACAAGUCAGUUGUGAAAUCUCCGGGCUUAACUCGGAAAGGUCAACUGAUACUGUGCGACUAGAGUGCAGAAGGGGCAACUGGAAUUCUCGGUGUAGCGGUGAAAUGCGUAGAUAUCGAGAGGAACACCUGCGGCGAAGGCGGGUUGCUGGGCCUGACACUGACGCUGAUGCGCGAAAGCCAGGGAGCGAACGGG
rnacentral:rRNA from 1 species